ensembl:lncRNA
CCUUUCUCCAGCUGUAACUAUAUAACCCAACCCCUGUCCUACCCCUUUCUCCAGCUGUAACUAUAUAACCCAAUCCCCCUGUCCUACCCCUUUCUCCAGCUGUAACUAUAUAACCCAAUCCCCCUGUCCUACCCCUUUCUCCAGCUGUAACUAUAUAACCCAAUCCCCUGCCCUACCCCUUUCUCCAGCUGUAACUAUAUAACCCAAUCCCCCUGUCCUACCCCUUUCUCCAGCUGUAACUAUAUAACCCAAUCCCCCUGUCCUACCCCUUUCUCCAGCUGUAACUAUAUAACCCAAUCCCCCUGCCCUACCCCUUUCUCCAGCUGUAACUAUAUAACCCAACCCCCUGUCCUACCCCUUUCUCCAGCUGUAACUAUAUAACCCAAUCCCCUGCCCUACCCCUUUCUCCAGCUGUAACUAUAUAACCCAAUCCCCCUGUCCUACCCCUUUCUCCAGCUGUAACUAUAUAACCCAAUCCCCCUGUCCUACCCCUUUCUCCAGCUGUAACUAUAUAACCCAAUCCCCCUGCCCUACCCCUUUCUCCAGCUGUAACUAUAUAACCCAAUCCCCCUGCCCUACCCCUUUCUCCAGCUGUAACUAUAUAACCCAAUCCCCUGCCCUACCCCUUUCUCCAGCUGUAACUAUAUAACCCAAUCCCCAUACCCUACCAUUUUCUCCAGCUGUAACUAUAUAACCCAAUCCCCCUGUCCUACCCCUUUCUCCAGCUGUAACUAUAUAACCCAAUCCCCCUGUCCUACCCCUUUCUCCAGCUGUAACUAUAUAACCCAAUCCCCUGUCCUACCCCUUUCUCCAGCUGUAACUAUAUAACCCAAUCCCCCUGUCCUACCCCUUUCUCCAGCUGUAACUAUAUAACCCAAUCCCCCUGUCCUACCCCUUUCUCCAGCUGUAACUAUAUAACCCAAUCCCCUGUUAUUGAGUUUGUAUCCCAAUAUUACACUUUAUAUACAUGAAAGUAGACCGAAAUAUUACAAACUGUUUGACAUAGAAACACCAAUUUUCGGCAGGUAAAAAAAAAUCAUGAAAUGAUGAAUAACAUUCCACCCAUGAGGCCUCUAGGUAAUUUGACUGCAGGAAAAGGCUACUAGAGUGGAUAUAAUGGUAGGGGAGUGCCGUGGAUCCACAGAGCCCCCCACCCCAUCCCAUUGGUCAGACUGGGGUUAUUGAUCCGGUGUAUCGAGGCGCUGUAUUGGCUGCUUGAUCGUUCUGCUCCAUGCAGCAAAUGGUUGAAACAGGGCUAACCUUCACUGAUGAGUCAAUAGGAUGGCUGUAAACAUGAUUAACUUCUGAUCUUUGGUAAUGGCUGCAACAUGACCUCUGUACAGGCUGGGGAAUAAUCUGACAUACAGGAUGAAUAUCAUUUAUAACUAGCUUUAUAUUGACACAUUAUACAUAUACUGUAUAUUUGGCUGUUUAGUCUAUUGUAAUGGAAGUCCAUUGUCAGCUAUGUACCUCUUGUAUGAAUGAAUAAAAGC